rnacentral:rRNA from 1 species
CUACGUGCCAGCAGCCGCGGUAAUACGUAGGUGGCAAGCGUUGUCCGGAAUUAUUGGGCGUAAAGCGCGCGCAGGCGGAUUGGUCAGUCUGUCUUAAAAGUUCGGGGCUUAACCCCGUGAUGGGAUGGAAACUGCCAAUCUAGAGUAUCGGAGAGGAAAGUGGAAUUCCUAGUGUAGCGGUGAAAUGCGUAGAUAUUAGGAAGAACACCAGUGGCGAAGGCGACUUUCUGGACGAAAACUGACGCUGAGGCGCGAAAGCCAGGGGAGCGAACGGGAUUAGAUACCCCGGUAGUCCACGCCGUAAACGAUGAGUGCUAAGUGUUGGAGGGUUUCCGCCCUUCAGUGCUGCAGUUAACGCAUUAAGCACUCCGCCUGGGGAGUACGACCGCAAGGUUGAAACUCAAAGGAAUUGACGGGGGCCCGCACAAGCGGUGGAGUAUGUGGUUUAAUUCGACGCAACGCGAAGAACCUUACCAGGUCUUGACAU